GAUUAACGCUGGCGGCGUGCAUAACACAUGCAAGUCGAACGAUGAAACUUAAAUGAUUUCUUCGGAAUGAACUUAAGUGGAUUAGUGGCGGCCGGGUGAGUAACGCGUGAGUAACCUGCCUUACACAAGGGGAUAGCCGUUGGACACGACGAAUAAUACCCUAUGAAACUAUCACUUCGCAUGAAGCGAUAGUCAAAGUGUUAGCGGUGUAAGAUGGACUUGCGUCUGAUUAGCUAGUUGGUGAGAAAAAAGCCCACCAAGGCAACGAUCAGUAGCCGGCUUGAGAGAGUGUACGGCCACAUUGGGACUGAGGCACGGCCCAGACUCCUACGGGAGGCAGCAGUGGGGAAUUUUGCACAAUGGGGGAAACCCUGAUGCAGCGACGCCGCGUGAUUUAGAAGGCCUUCGGGUUGUAAAAAUCUUUUGUAUAGGAAGAAAAUGACAGUACUAUACGAAUAAGGUCCGGCUAAUUACGUG
rnacentral:rRNA from 1 species